UCGAAACAAAUAGUCCCUUUGCUUGUGUGGUUCGAGGUGUUUACUUGUAGUCGUUGGAAAAUGAGGCUGAAUGAGUAUGUAGGGCUGGAGGCUCAUGAUGAGAUUAAAACGCUGCUGACGUAAAGCCUCCCGGUGAAAGCACAGGCUGUUGCACUGCGGUCGGAUGAUUUACACAGAGUCCCUGCUCACUGCUGGCCCUCUUCACUAUCAGCUAGCAUUUUGUCCUUGCUAGGACAUUUUAUCCAUCUGUUGUUGUGUCGCAGCCACCCAUCUCCAAUAAAAAAAUAUAGGGAAAACUUGUUAAUUUAGGGGUUAACUUUUACUGACAACCACAACUGAACGAAAUAAGCAGGGCAGUGAAAAUCUGCUGUGGAGUUGCAGUUAGAAAGGAUGAUGUAGCCUAAUGAGUAAGAACAAAAUCUGAAUAGGCCUACAUGAUUCCACUGCAGUGUCCUAAAGCCCAAAGUGACAAGUUCAUAGUAGGGCUGCAUGAUUAUAGCCAAAAUGAUAAUUACGAUUAUUUUGAUGAAUAUGAGAUCACAAUUAUCUAUCACAAUUAUUUGUUGAUUUUAGGGACAAAAUUACUGAUCUGUAACAUUUAGCCUAAAUAUACAGUGCUGCUUUCAUGGUCCGUGUAUCAUCCGAUCAUUCAAUUAUUCCAUUCAAUCUAGCAAAUGAAAAACGAAAAAACGAGUCAAUAUUUAGUUUUUCUGUGUAACCAAAAAAUGGAAGAUUGGUGUUUGUUUUCCUAUUUUCAGCUCAAAACAGAAAAUAUAAUAAACGAAAACAAAAUAAUAAGUCUAAUUUACGUUUUCGGUUGCUGAUUUUCCCAUUUCCCAUGGUGUCUUUCUAUUGCUCGCACAUGCGCAAUAAAGUAGCUAACAACAUGUGGACCAACUACAUGCUAACAGAGCUAGCUAACAUCGCGGGAAACUCAGCACGCACAGGCACAGAGAUGAAGAUGGACGCAUCCUUUGUGCUAUUCAAGGCCCCCAGGAGGGUCACCUUCAGAGAGGAAGACAUGACGGUGGAAAAGAUGGCUAAAAUAUUUCAGGUAACAAGCCAGAGUCUGUACCUUACUGGUGAUAACAAUGUGGCAGUGUUCCCCAGAGUGGAUGGCCACUUCAGUUCACUCAACCUCAGGGACAAGGCCCAUUACGAGGUACAUGGGGCCAAGGCUGCACCAGAUGCAAGUGGUAAUGUCGCUGCCUUGGGGCCCCCUCCUACUCCUUCCUCAAACAGCCAGUUUCGCUUCUCCAGGUCGGCUAGCUCAGCAAGUCCCUCACUGCCACCCAGGGCCCAAUCCCUGAAAUACUUUACAAGGACUGUCAGACUGGGAGAGUUACAGAGUGGAAAGCUUGUGAACAGCAGAAUGGUGGUUAUAAGAUUUACUGAGCAGGAGGCCAGUGUCCCAUCUAUGAUUGCAAAAACAAAAUAUGCCUUAGGAAGCAACAAACCACUCAUCCUGACAGAUCCUGGCCUUUUCCUUCUGACAUGAGUCAUCGUAAAACGCUAAGCAUGGCCUCUAAUAAAGAGCAAAGCUGGUCUGACACAAUAUGUUGAGAGCGACUAAAUGAAUGCCAUGUUCCUCAACGCAGAGAUGAUAAUGGCAGACUGGACAGUGUAUUUGAGAAAAUUGAGGAGGUUGUCCUGACUGCUCAGGGUUUGUCUGAGGUGACUGCUGCCAUCCAGGGUCUCUCUGACGUCGUCCAUCGAAACAGGAAGACAACAGUGAGCAUGGUUACAUGCGCACAAUAAUCAGAUAACUGGGAAUAAUCAGGAUGCAUGGAAGAUCCCACAUUCGCAGCAUGCUGUGACAGCCUGGUUGCAUGCAGAUCCUGCACCACUUUGUGGCUUCAACGUUCUUCUCUCUGCUUGAAGUGCUGAGCGGAUAAUUUGUGCCAGUAUUCACAAGGUUACUGGCCUUUCUGAAGUUAUAAAUGCCAUUAGCAGGGAUGCAAACAGCGUGCCGAAAAGCGCAACUCGCUUUUUCGUGGCCAUUUGGGUGACUUGUGUGAAUCGUUCAGAUCCGAAGAGUUAUAUAAAAAUAUAUAAAAUAUAAAAAAAAUAAUAUAAAAGUUGAUUUCAUGUGUUCUUAUGGAAGUUUGCACACCGGGGUGGAACUUUCGUGCGGUGAAAUAAGUUUCCGCCCAGACUUUGAACCCCCGCGGAAUUCGCCAGCGGAACUACACAGCUGGGCCAAUGAAAUAGUUUGUUUAUAAUCGCGCAGACAUGGGAGAAAGAUUGAUAAACCUUGUUUCACAGCACCCCGUCCUUUUUGAUAACAGACGGGAUGAUUUUAUGAA